GGUGAGGUUUUCCUUCUAGUCAUUUUGCUCAGUGCAGAGUGGCCAAAAGCAAGUUGUAUUGGGAAAAAGAGAAAAAGAAGAGAGAAAGAAGGAAAGAAAAGAGAAAGAGAAAAAAAAAAGGGGGGAAGAAAAAAACGAAAAAAAAAGAGAGAAGAAAAAGAGAAAGAAAAAGAAAGGAGAAAAAAAAGGGGGUGGGGGAAGGAAACAAAUCAAAAAGCAAAACAAAACAAAACAAAACAAAACAAAACAAAACAAAACAAAACAAAAAAAAGAACCACGGGGGAGUAUCUUCUGAUUCUGUGUUCUUUAAGUCCCUUGGCUUCUCCUGGAAGUUGUCCGUCUAGCUGGUCUUCUGGGGGAGGGGCCUGUUGUGCUGGUUUUCAGGUGUUAGCAGUUGGGGGAGCUGCUGUGCCCCUGCCUGGUGCAGGGCUCAGUGGGGGUUGUUUACCCCGUGAGGCCGCAGGAGGAACAGCCCCAGUGGCGGGGCCAGCUCUGCAGCCUGGGAUCAGCUCCGGCAGGAAUCCGUCUGCAGGGCCUGGAGGCUCCGGAGCGGGGCCGCUGCUCUGCUCAGCUGAGGCAGGAGCGUCCUCGCUGUCCUGGGCCCUCCCGGCCUCUGCCUGUCCCGGGGCAGGCGGGAUCCUGGGCUGUGUCCCGGCGCCCUGUGCUCCGGAGCCUGCGCUGGUGGAUUCACGCUCCCGGCCGCGCAGCCCCCUCCGCGGAGCCGUCCCCGAGCCCCUCCGAGCUGCUCCUGGAACCGCGCAGCCCCCUCCGCGGAGCCGCCGCCCGAGCCCCUCCGAGCUGCUCCGGGUCCCGCCGGGUCCCGCCGUGGGCGCUGCAGCCCUUAGGGAGCUCGGCGCACUCUCCUGGGCGCGCAGUUGCUGUUACUGUCCCGGGGAGCCCGAGGGCAUCCCCGCCCUCCUGGGUCCUGCUCCACCUCCCCGCGAGCCCCUUUCCCCCGGGAAGGUCGGUGCAGCUCCUGCGUCUCCGGGACGGGGCUCUCCUGUCCUGGGGACACUCGCCCCGGCCUCAGCCCGGCUCCUCGCGGGGCCCCUCCCCCUUGGAGGCCUUUGUUUCUUUAUUUCUUUUUCCCCGUCUUCCUACCUUGAUAGAAGCGCGAACUCUUCUCACUGUUGCAUUCCAGCUGGUCUCUCUUUAAUUCUCAGGCCGAAUUCAUAG
rnacentral:lncRNA from 12 species